ACUUAUAUAGCUUAUAAAGAGCGUUGUGUUGAAGCUACAAAGGAAGCAGUAAUUGCUUGUAAGUA
rnacentral:tRNA from 1 species